rnacentral:lncRNA from 1 species
CAGUUUCAUGUAAAAUGACAGGAAGCAUCGUGGGAACACAGAGGGAAGGUAAGGAUCAUGGGAAAAUUGCUCUGACCAGCGGAAAUGAAGCACACUUUGCUCCUCCGCUGGUCAGAGCUGGUCAAGCGGAGGAAUCCUCCAUAAGGCAAGAGUCCCUACUUUGUCUUAUGAUUUUAAAGAAAACUAAAGAAGACAGGAAGAAAAGAAGAACAGAUCCUGAGAGAGGGGGAGAAGAGGAAGAGAUUGAGGAAAGGUAAGUUCGGCAUGACAGUGCCGCUUUAA